rnacentral:lncRNA from 1 species
AUGAGUCUGACUCACAACUGGAGACCUUUUCUCACCAUGAUGGCCAGUGCAAAGGCAAGGGCACUCCCAGCCCACACACUGCAUUCGUGCAGUCUCUCAGGUACUUGUUUCACCUGUUUCACAUACUUUAAAAUAAGUGACUGUACCUCACUUCUUAAAUUCCAAGGUACUUCAGUUCCAGGCCUGCCAGCCAGGCUGGAUGAUACUGUCCCUUCUGCUGACAGGAGCACAAAGCGGGGAGCCUACGAGACACACUCAUUGAGCCACAGGCCUGUCACAGGCAGGCUCUGGUGGAAGCAGGUGAACUUAUAAGGAAACUGGUAAGGAACAUCUGUCUCUCUCUGAUCCUAGGGAACUGAAAUCACUUCUUGGAGACUUUAAGAAGGUGAUGGUAACCAGGAGCAGCCUUAAGACAGCUCUGAUUUCCAACUCAAUAUUGGCUUGGUAUGUGGAUGACUCAGUGCAAAAGCCAGGAAUAUUUUCACACCCUAUGCUACUGGCAGAAGAAAAACCCCAAGGAAAACUCUAGUCCUCCUAGCUUCUGAAAGAAGUCCUGCAAGAAUUUGACUGAAUUUCUGUUAAAGAAUUUCUACUUCUACAGUUUCUACCAUGACCAGGAACAAAGCCAUCUUUUUCCAUUCACAGUAAUGCCCAUUAUUUAUCAGUUAGAUAUAUGGUGCGAUGAGUUUUGACUUAAAAUACAGUGUUGCUUCAGUAUUCAGGAAGUGAAGUCAGAGAGAAUUAUGAUAUCCUGAAGGUAUGGUUAAAGGAGCCCCUAGACCUUGGGCUUUUAAAUAAGUUUGCAAAGACUUAUUAAUGGAGAAUGUACCACAUAAUCCAUCUAAAUAAUUUACUGUUAACUAUUCUGCCAAAGGAAAGAUUCUCAUUCAAACAUAGUUUGUGUGUGUGUGUGUGUUUUGGGUUUUAGUGUUUAG